rnacentral:rRNA from 1 species
CAGAGGGUGCAAGCGUUAAUCGGAGUUACUGGGCGUAAAGGGCGCGUAGGCGGUUUGUUGGGUGUGAUGUGAAAGCCUUGGGCUUAACCUGAGAAGUGCAUCGCAAACUAAUAGACUGGAGUAGAUGAGAGGGUGGCGGAAUUUCCGGUGUAGCGGUGAAAUGCGUAGAGAUCGGAAGGAACGUCAAUGGCGAAGGCAGCCACCUGGCAUCAUACUGACGCUGAGGCGCGAAAGCGUGGGGAGCGAACAGGAUUAGAUACCCUGGUAGUCCACGCUGUAAACGAUGAUGACUAAAUGUUGCUGGGGGAACCUAGCAGUAUUGAAGCUAACGCGAUAAGUCAUCCGCCUGGGAAGUACGGCCGCAAGGUUG